rnacentral:rRNA from 1 species
UAGGGAAUAUUGCAAAAUGGGCGAAAGCCCGAUGCAGCAACGCCGCGUGGGCGAUGAAGGCCUUCGGGUCGUAAAGCCCUUUUUGAGGGGAUGAGGAAGGACAGUACCCUCAGAAUAAGCCUCGGCUAACUACGUGCCAGCAGCCGCGGUAAAACGUAGGAGGCGAGCGUUAUCCGGAUUUACUGGGCGUAAAGCGCGUGCAGGCGGAUUGGGGAGUUGGAUGUGAAAGCUCCCGGCUUAACUGGGAGAGGUCGUUCAAUACUUCCAGUCUUGAGUGCAGUAGAGGGAAGUGGAAUUCCGGGUGUAGUGGUGUAAUGCGUAGAUAUCCGGAGGAACACCAGUGGCGAAAGCGGCUUCCUGGACUGUAACUGACGCUCAGACGCGAAAGCUAGGGUAGCAAACG